rnacentral:lncRNA from 1 species
CAAUGAACUAUGCAUUUUUCUAUCUGAUGUCUUUGUGCUGGUUUCCAGGUCAGUCUACGUGGGCGCUUUAAGAGCAGUUUUUUCUUUCCUUCAAGUUCUGUAGUUUUCCUGGGUGUGUUCCCUGUUGGUUUUCAAGGCCAGCAAAGCUAGGUAUUAUGGGAUCUUGUCUCUCUUGUGCUGAGUCUAAGGGCUGGGAUGCCUACUGUGGAGCUCAGAACCUCCACUUCUCCAGGAAGAGCUCUGCAGCUUGGAGCGCUCCCCUGGCUGUGAGGCGCAGUGGCUAGGGGGUGGGAUUUUGCUCAGCGGGGCUGUGUCUCUGCCUUUUCCACUGCAGUCUGUGUUGUCUCGUGUGGUGGCGGUGCUUUUUAUCCUGUUUCCAGAUCUCUCCCAGAGGAAAUUGUUCCAGAGGUAGUUGUAAUUUUGCUGUGUCCAUAGGAGGAGUUCCUGGCUGAUUUUUCAAUGUGAUGCUUUUAAGCCAUUUGUGGAGACAAAGAAGGCGUUUUAGGAUCAUUUAAGAAAAUGAACUCAUAAUAACAUAUGGUAGCUGACUUCAGUAUGGAUUUUCCACUGCAUUGAUCAACUCAGUGAAAUUCUCUUACAUAAAUACAAAUGUUCACAAGACAAAGAUAUCCGUCCAGCAUGGAUGUUGUUCAGAAAGAGGAAAGGAAAAUCCUGCUUUCCACUUGGUGUCGGCUGUAUGCACUUCUCUCAGUCCUCUUGGACGCCGUUGGAUCGCAAUCCAUAGCAUAUUUUACAAAUGAAGAGCAUACGUAAAGAGAGAAGUCUAACAGAUGGCUCCGGGAAAUGCGUAAUAAAUGAAAAGAAACAACAGUGCGCCUUACUAAAACUGAGCAAAGCAGCCUUGGAGGGUGUUGCUGUUUGCCGCAGUCUGAGGACCUGAAGCACAGCUCUUUGCAGCAGACGGAUGGAGUGAUAAAUGGCUGAGCAAAUGCAAAGGCCAUGGGAGAAAUACUCUGAACGUUCUCAUGAGAUAUAUUGUAUUUUAGUUUUUUAGACCUUUCUUAAGUCUAAGGAAUGAAAAAUAUAAUACGCCACAGUCACCAACACAUUUAAAAGACAAGAAAUCGUGUCUAACAAAACAAUUUUUAAAAUGCUGUAGAUCCUUUUGAAGGAAACAGCACUGAACCCAGUUGAAGGUGAAGAUGAUAGAUGUAUGACAUUAGAUUUUUGGCAUUGAAAUUAAGGAAUACAAUAAAAUCAAUAUUGAGAAAUGAUAAGAAAGCAAAGGACAGACAAAGGCCAGAACCUCCUAAACAAUUUUCGUCAAAGCCAUAAUUUAAUCUUUUAUUGUCUCUUAAAGUUUUAUUGCUUAAGAUUAUUCUUUUUAUAAAUAAAUUUUUUAAAAAGAGAUUUCACUGUUCAAUGUCUGCAUAUAGGGAG